CCUAACUAAUCAUUUGCGAUUUCCUAGUGAACUCAAACGUACAUCUAUAUUAGUGAAUCCCAGUAACUCUCAGCCCAAAAAACUAACCAAAGUCCUUAACAAACCAACGUGAAAUUAGCAAUUACAAACCUAAAGCCUUACUAACACGAAUUCGAACUUGUUCAAGGGGUAGAGUCCACGAUCCACCCAGUUUUACAGAGCAUGUUUACAGCUAAACAAUUAAGAGUGAACAUGAUAAAGGGGAGAUCAGACUACUCCACACAUUCUGAUGAUUUCCAAAAGACAUGAGUGGCAUUUUAUGAACAAAACAGAAAUACAACUAAGCUAUAAAAAUGAACAAAUUUUAUGCACUGCUUCAAAGUUCCCUGUCCAUUUCAUUCAUCAAGUUUGGAUUCACAUUCUGCAGGUUUUAGAAUAAGUACCUGGAUAUUGAAAGCAAAGAACAAAGUGAGGAGUCAGCAGCAGUACUUAGCAAAAUUUAGCACCAGCAACACCAAUGCAAACCAGAAAAAUAGAUACAAAGCAGUACAAGACAGUCUUAAUCGAACAAUAACCCAAAGCAACCUCAAACCAAACUUCAAACACCCAAAACUCAAUUCAUUUCAGCACCAGAUUAAUCAGAAAUUCUUCAGAAGUUAAAGCUCUUCGAAAUUAUAGAAGAGAAUGCAAUGGAACAAUAAUCUUUGUUCUUGAAGUCUAUGAAAGUAGUAAAAUUUUUGCAGUUUCUGUAUUUUUAGAUUUCCAGCUCUCAAAAAUCUAAUUCUUGGGUCUCCUUGAAAGGCAAGUUUUGGAUGCCUUUAUAGGCAAGCUACUAGGGCAGACUUAGCUUGCACUUUGCCCCAUUUCUAAUUUUUGUUUUAGCUUAAAAACCCCUAGCCAAAAAUCNNNNNNNNNNNNNNNNNNNNNNNNNAAAUUUUUCAGAUUAGUCCCCACCCCAGCUUCCAAGAAGCUUCCCUCAGUCAGUUACAAAAGAUUCCCCAGCCUAGAUUACCCAAAUUACCCUUGCGACUCCUGAAAUUUACAUUGUACUCAAAUGGGCUAUGGGUCAAAUUGACCCUGAGUCGAAUCCUUUAGACAACUAGCCUAAAACUGAACUGAAAGGUAUAAAACUCCAACCCAAACACAAUCAAACCAACGUUACUGAAUUAGCAUGAAACAAGCAGAAAAUAUAAACAAUUUGAGACUCUUCUUUUCUCUUUAUCCAAUUAUUGAACUAACAUUACUAACUGUUGAAACUAACUAAUAAACAGACUACUUAAACCAAUUAACUAAAAAUGAAAAGCUUCUUUGAACUAAUCAUGCAUGGGCAAAAGGAUGACUUUAAAACACUAAGAAGUCCAGAAGAAGAGGAAGAAGCAGAUGACAAUAAAAGAAGAAAAAGAAGUAAAAAGAAACGUAAAUAAAACCAAGGAAAUACAUAAAGGUACGGAUGGACUUGGAACAACUUAAAGCCUCCGUCAACUUUCUUGACAAGAGCAAUCUUUAAUUGGGUGUUUUCAUGUGAAAACACAUGCUUAAAGGCCAUUAUAGCCUAGAACCGUCAAAAACCCUGUUGGAUUUGGAUUUGUGGAACUAGGAUUUUUUUUCUGAUUUGAGAUUCGAACAGCUCCGAGGAGAUUCGAGGGUAGUGGGUUGGGUAUAUGGGAUGAAGAGGUUAUGGUGAUCAUUUGGGGUUGAUUUGGUGGGAAAAGGAGUCGGCGGCGCCGGGUAGGGGGUUGGGAAUUCUAGGACGGUGGCUAGGGUUUGAGGUUUCGAUUUGAAAUUCGAACGCUUGGGGUUCCAUUUGAGGUAAAAGGGGUACGGAUCUGGGAUGUGGAGAUGGAGGAGAGUAUUUGGUGUAAGUUUGGUGGCAGUUUGCGGUGGCACCGCCACCGGCGGUGGAGAAUUUGGGGGUGGCUAGCUAGGGUUUCAUAGGAGAGUCCCAGGAGGGGUGUUUGAAAGGGACGAAAUGAGGGGGGUAGAGUAGCGUUUGGACAUAUAAAUAUCCUUACCUACCUAGUUUCGAUCCGUUCGAUCAGAUCAGUUCAACGGUCGAGAUGAAGGGAACUGGAACGACGUCGUUUGGUUGAGUGGGGGGAACCGGACGGGGUCAGGGGUGGAGCUGGGUCUGGAUUGGGUGAGUUUUAAGGGAAAAUCCAAAUGGGCUUAAUAAUUGAAAUACUACUCAGCCCAAAAUCUGAUCCAGUCUCAUGGCAUGUGGCUGUACAGAAUGGUCUAAGACCACUUGGUACGUAAUUAUUAUGCAAAAGUGUAACGAUCUGGUUGGUUAUUUUGAGUAUUUUAGUCUCAAUCUUUUAUUUAUCACCUCCUCUAUGUUAUAUUGUGGCUAUGUGACUUACUGAGGUAUUUGGUUUUAGUUUCGAGUGAGUGUUGGAGUGAAAUGGGACAUAAAGUCCUUAAGUUCGAGCCUUAAGUUGAAAGUGUUGACCAUAGUUUGACUUUUGUGUAGACGACUUCGGAAUGGAAUUUUGACAGUUCCAAUAGCUCAGUAUGGUAAUUUUGGACUUAGGACGUGACCGGAUGUUGAUUUGGAGGUUUCGUAGGUCGGUUCAGCUUGAAUUGGUGAAAGUUAGGAAGUUGAAGGUUUGGAAGGUUAGAAAGUUUGACCGGAAGUUGACUUUAUUGAUAUCAAGGUCCGAUUUCAAUUACUGAAGGUGGAAUAGGUCCGUCAUGUCAUUUAUGACUUGUGUGCAAAAAUUGAGGUCAAUCAGUAUAGAUUUAGUAUGGUUUGGUGUUAGUUUUGGAAUUCGGAAGUUCAUAUUUUUAAUAGGCUUGAAUUCGGUUGCAAUUCAUAGAAUCGAUGUUAUUUGAUGUGAUUUUUGGUCUCGAGUAGGUCCGUUAUGUGUUUUGGAACUUGCUGGUAUAAUCGGAUGGGGGCCCGGGGGCCCGGGUGUGAUUCGAAUUGAAUCUGAAUCAAUUUUGGACCUUAAGCACUGCUGCUUCUGGUGUGACCGCACCUGCGACGGGUAUGGCCACAAGUGCGGCCUUAAGAAUGCAGAUAGAGCAGUGAGUGUGGGAUGCUAGGAUCGUAGAGUGGGAGUCUCCGUAGAAGCGAAGUCGCUUCUGUGAUGGAAGGAAGUGCAGGAGCGGGCAUUAGUCGCUGGUGUGAUAUUUCCUCCGCAAGUGUGCGUGCGCAGAUGCAGUUGUUUUCUCGCAGAAGCGGAGGAUGCUGGGCUUAGCGAAAACCGCAACUGCAAUGGAAAUUCUGGAGGUGCAGAGCCGCAGAUGCGACUGUGGAAUCGCAAAAGCGAGAUUCCUUGGCAGAAAAGGCCUAAUUUUGAGCGUUUGAUCUCAUUUUCAUUUUUGGACCUAGCGAGCUCGAUUUGUGAUGAUUUUUCGAGAGAUUUUCAAGGAAAUCAUUGGGGUAAGAAAUGCUAACCCGGUUUUGGCUAUAAUACACAAAUCUAUUGUUGUUUUCAUCAUUUAAUUAGUGUUUUGAGUUGGAAAUUUGAAAGGCGAUUUGAGGUCGGAUUUGAGUAAUUCUUGUAUGGUAGGACGCGUUAUCGGAUGGGUGUUCGAAUUUUGUAACUUUGAUCGGGUUUCGAGACGCGAGCUCGGGUUGACUUUUUGAGUUGACUUUUUAUUUCUUUGCAAAGAUCAUAAUUUUAUUGUUCGAAAUAAUUUCCUAUAGUUUAUAUUUAUGGUAUGAAAUUGUUUUGGCUAGAUUCGAGUCGUUCGGAGUUGGAUAAUCAAGGGAAAGGCUUACUAGUGGAUUAAGUUAGCGUGUUUUGAGGUAAGUGUCUUGCCUAAUAAUGUGCCGGAGAAUUUCAGCAUAUUUCAAUACUAAUUGCUUAGAUUUUAGCUUGUUUUGAAUGUAACUACCUCCCUUUCUUAUGUAAUUUUAGUGUUUUUGCAGUACAUGAGGUUUAAGGACCCAAGAGCAUGGAAAUGAAAGCAAAAAGCCAUAAAAAGACAAGAAAAGAGCAAAAUGUAGCAAAAAUGUGGAUAUGUGACGCAUUAUGCGAUCGCAAACCCUGCAUGCGAGCCGCAUAAGGUGCAAAGGAUCGCAAAUCAAAAUAGAAAGUUAGCCAAAAUCUGGUGCAAGAAAUGCGGUCCAGAAUGCGAUCGCAUAACAGGUUUGCGGACCACAUAAUGGACCGCAAACUCAUGAAGAGAAGUGCUGAUGGUGGAAAAUGCGACGCAGAAUGCGAUCGCAUAGCUGGAAUGCGGUCCGCAAACCCACAAUGCGACGACGGCCUGGAAACUAGGGUUUUGAAGUGCGAUGGGCAUGAAGAGAAUGCGGACCGCAUGUCUGAUUUGCGACAGAAAUGCGGUCGCAUACUUGACCUGAAAGGGCAUUUUUGUCCAAUUUCUGUCUCGAUUUUUGGCCCUCUAUAAAUAGAUUUAUUGUUAAUUGCUGGGCUCAUCUAGUCUGACUUUGAAGCUACAAUACAAGGCAUUAAUAUUACUCUCUUUUGGAAGCUUUUGGGUCAAGAAUAUUUCACUUUGUAAGCUUUAUGGCAUUAAAUAGUGUCUUCCUUUUGUAUAUAGCAUAUGUAGCUAACUUUAAAUACUAAGGUUGUGGACCCUAAAUGGGUGUUAUGUUAAUGGGUGUUUAACAUUGAUAUAUAUAUAAUGGUUGGUUGAUAUUUAUUUAAUUCUCAUUCUUCAUUUAUUGUUGGUGGUUGCAAACAUUAACAAGUGCCAUUAAAUUCUUGCUUUGCUUGGGAAAGUGGGUUGGAAUUUGGAAGAUGUAAAUAUCAAAGACUCAAGGCUUUAAACCUUGUUUAAUAGAAUCACUUAGGAAUAAGUGGGCUUUAUUUGGCACAUAUUGAUUGUUCUUAAUUGCAACUCUUUUAUAUUUGGAAAAAAUCAUAAAGAGGAAAUACUGCCCAACUAUUGAAAAAUAUUGGGUAGACAUUUAGACAUCAUUUGCAUAUCAAAAGGACCUUCCAUUAGAAAUAUAUCAUAUUAAAACCGAUAGCAUUACACUUCAUUAAAGGGGACACAACCUUGGUUUCUUUAAUCAAAUUAUUUACAUUCUCAAUAUUUCAACUAGUUGUUACAUCAAAUCAAACUCAACUCAUACUCUUGUUACCAUUAAUUCAUACUCUUGUUACCGUUAACUGGAUAGAACUACGACUUUAGUCGAGAAUCGAAUAACCUUUUCACACCUAUUUCCUGUGGGAUUCGACCCCAACCUUGUUGGGUUAUUAUAUUUGACAUCGACCACCUUACACUAUUUAUUAAAGUGUAAUUUGAGCGUAUCAAAUUUUGGCGCCGUUGCCGGGGAAUACGGUUUUGAAAUUACUAAUUAGUGUGUGCUUUACUUUACGUCUUAUUCUAUUCCAUCACACUUUUCUUGUUUUGCUUGGUGUUGAUAGGAAAACAUGUCUGAGUAUGGCGAUGACGUAGAGGCAGAAAUGGGAGAAAAUCUUUUUGCGGACAUCGAGGAGUACAUUGAGGAUACAAAUGCUAUUGUACCUCCAGUUGUUGGCGCUGCAACGUUCCAGGUGGAACAUGGUUUAAUCCUUAUGCUCAAAGUGGUGGGGUUUUUCAGGAAUUCCACUGAUGAUGAUCCGACACAACAUCUUAAAAACUUCUUCGGUAUGUGUGCAAUGCAUAAGCAGAAUAAUGUCUCUGAUGAUGCCCUAAGGUUGAGAUGCUUCAAGUAUUCUCUAGCUGGGGACGCAAGGAAAUGGCUCCAAAAUCUGCCCCGAAACUCCAUUCAUUCUUGGGCCGAACUUGUCUGAUCCUUCUUGUCUAAAUGGUUCCUGCAAAGUAAGAAGUCGGAACUCCGAGAUAAAAAAAAAUUUCAAGCAAGUACCGGGAGAACAUCUACAUGAGGCAUGGGAUCGUUUCAAAUUAUAUUUGGUGAGGUCUCCCAACCAUGAUUUUCCGGAUUCUAUUUUGUGGGAGAAAUUCUACAUGGGCUUGGAUCCUAUGAACCAAUCUAUAGCCAAGAAUGCAGCUGUCGGAUCUUUCAUGGACAAAUCAUUUGCAAGGGUGACACAAAUACUUGACAAAAUGGCAAAACAUAAUCAAGCAUGGCACUCCGAGGAUACCACAGGUGGAAUUACAUAUGGUUCUCCUUCUUUGAGCAACAUGAUCAAGGAAAAUCAAGAGAGAGAUCAAGUGAUUGCAGGGCUUGCUACAAAUGUUAAUGUGUUGACAAAGAUGUUCACCGAAAGCCAAACAAAGAAGGUAAAUGUGGUUGAGGAUGUGCAACCCAUAUCCAGUGAGGAUUUUGAGGAAGCAAAUUAUGUCAACAACUCUCAAGUAGGGUACCAAAGGCAACAAUACCUAGGUCAAGGACAACAAAACCAAUGGAGGCCAAACCGGCAAGGUCAAGGCCACCAACAAUGGUUGUCACACCUCCUUUUUACCUACACCCCCGGAAGAGGAGUAUAUAAGGGAGUUUUUUCCAACUUAAAGUGACAAUCGAAACGGGAUUAUUUUAUUUAAAUUCAGAGUCGCCACUUGGGUUAAUUUAUGGUGUCCCAAGUCACCGGUUCCAAUCCCGAAUCGAGAAAAAGAUUGACUCAGUUUAACAGUCCGCGAACCAGAAAUCCGGGUAAGGAAUUCUGUUAACCCGGGAGAAGGUGUUAGGCAUUCCCGAAUUCCGUGGUUCUAACACGGUCGGUCAACUGUUAUUUUUGGCUUAACUAUCUGACUUUAAAAACAUUUUAAACCUAUGUGCAUUUUAACCCCUUUUUAAAACCGCCCUUAUUUAAUUAUUUUAAAGGAAACUUGCAAUGUCUUUUAAAAUAUGUCUCAAACCACGUCACAUAAAUGCACCCGCGGCUUUCGACAUAUUUUAUCUAACAUUUUUGGGGAUUUGGAUUUGGGUCACAUAAAUGCGCACUCGAGUUUAGGAAGGUAAAUUAUUAAAAUGGCAUGCCUAAAGCAACUACACACUUUCAAGUUUGCGAGGGCCAUGGAAGUUCAACUAAAUUUCUAAAGAUUUAAAAUAUUAAUUAAGUGAGGGCCAUGCAUUUUGAAAUUUUAUUUGGCAGGGCGUCCCCCAAAUUAUUCUAUUAAAGGUAUUUCUAGACUCGGUUUUGAGGGCCAUAACUAUUGGUAUCGUUUAAUAUGGCACACCUCAACUAAUUAACACGAUCUAAUUAAUUAAACAUUAAAGGAACUUGAAUUCUACUUUUAAUACUAAUGCUCAAAUGAAUUAGAAGGAAAUCUACCCGGAAGAGAACAUGGGCGAAUAUUCGAAAGAAAAUGGCCUUGGCCAUCGAUAGCACUGAGAUGGGAAAGUAAAAAGGCAGGCCUAAACAAUACAAAGUAGAUAAUUCUGUUUUUUGCAAGUGUCUUCAGACUUGGGCCCAAGGUGAGCCCAAAUCUUACAAGAAUCUAAGGUUAACGAGUGCAGAACUCGACCUCGAAUCCCUAUGGCACAUUAGCAGUGUCUGAAAAAAUCACUGGGUAACAACGUGAUCCCAAAUGGCUAAUAACGGAGCACCCAUGUAUAUGCAAUCAACUUUUAAAAUCAGCCUUCGAUUACUUAAUAGACGAUUAUAUGCAGUUCAACAAUGAUUUGCAAGCAGUCGAGAGUCUGAUUUAAAUAACUAGCAGUAGGUAACUUAUUUCCAGAUCCCCAAGUUAACUUAAAAUAAAGACCUGAUGAUUUAAAACAAAUCAAACCAAUCUCACAUAAGUAAAACCCAACUAACCAUUUGUCAUUUCCUAGUGAACUCAAACGUACAUCUACAUUAGUGAAUCCCAGUAACUCUCAGCCCAAAAAACUAACCAAAGUCCUUAACAAACCAACGUGAAAUUAGCAAUUACAAACCUAAAGCCUUACUAACACGAAUUCGAACUUGUUCAAGGGGCAGAGUCCACGAUCCACCCAGUAUUACAAAGCAUGUUUACAGCUAAACAAUUAAGAGUGAACAUGAUAAAGGGGAGAUCAGACUACUCCAAACAUUCUGAUGAUUUCCAAAAGACAUGAGUGGUAUUUUAUGAACAAAACAGAAAUACAGUUAAGCAAUAAAAAUGAACAAAUUUUAGGCACUGCUUCAAAGUUCCCUGUCCAUUUCAUUCAUCAAGUUUGAAUUCACAUUCUGCAGGUUUUAGAAUAAGUACCUGGAUAUUGAAAGCAAAGAACAAAGUGAGGAGUCAGCGGCAGUACUUAGCAGAAUUCAGCACCAGCAACACCAAUGCAAACCAGAAAAAUGGAUACGAAGCAGUACAAGACAGUCUUAAUCGAACAAUAACCCAAAGCAACCUCAAACCAAACUUCAAACACCCAAAACUCAAUUCAUUUCAGCACCAGAUUAAUCAGAAAUUCUUCAGAAGCUAAAGGUUUUCGAAAUUAUAGAAGAUAAUGCAAUGGAACAGUAAUCUUUGUUCUUGAAGUCUAUGAAAGU
rnacentral:lncRNA from 1 species